rnacentral:rRNA from 1 species
AACGUAGGAGACAAACGUUAUCCGGAGUUACUGGGCGUAAAGGGCGUGUAGGUGGUUUCGUAAGUCUGGCGUGAAAUUUCCCGGCUUAACCGGGAGUGGUCGUCGGAUACUGCGGGACUAGAGGACGGUAGAGGCGUGUGGAAUUUCGGGUGUAGUGGUGAAAUGCGUAGAGAUCCGGAGGAACACCAGUGGCGAAGGCGACACGCUGGGCCGUACCUGACACUGAUGCGCGACAGCAUGGGGAGCAAACAGG